UCCCUGGUGGUUCAGUGGUCAGGGCUCGGCGCUUUUGCUGCUGGGGCUUGGGUUCAAUCCCUGGUCAGGGAA
rnacentral:tRNA from 1 species